rnacentral:rRNA from 1 species
AGAGUUUGAUCCUGGCUCAGGAUGAACGCUGGCGGCGUGCUUAAUACAUGCAAGUCGAGCGAGGACCAUUUGGUGGCAACACCGGGUGGCUCCUAGCGGCGAACGGGUGAGUAACACGUGGGCAACCUACCCCCGACUCUGGGAUAAGCCCGGGAAACUGGGUCUAAUACCGGACACGAGCCUCCUCCGCAUGGUGGAGGUUGGAAAGGGUCUCCGGUCGGGGAUGGGCCCGCGGCCUAUCAGCUUGUUGGCGGGGUAACGGCCCACCAAGGCAUCGACGGGUAGCUGGUCUGAGAGGAUGGCCAGCCACAUUGGGACUGAGAGACGGCCCAGACUCCUACGGGAGGCAGCAGUGGGGAAUCUUGCGCAAUGGCCGAAAGGCUGACGCAGCGACGCCGCGUGUGGGAGGAAGCCCUUCGGGGUGUAAACCACUGUUGCCCGGGGCGAAACUCCUCUUUCGAGAGGACUGACGGUACCGGGUGAGGAAGCACCGGCUAACUCCGUGCCAGCAGCCGCGGUAAU